rnacentral:rRNA from 1 species
UACGGAGGGAGCUAGCGUUGUUCGGAUAUACUGGGCGUAAAGCGCACGUAGGCGGCGCCGUAAGUCAGGGGUGAAAUCCCGGAGCUCAACUCCGGAACUGCCCUUGAAACUGCAGUGCUAGAAUCUUGGAGAGGCGAGUGGAAUUCCGAGUGUAGAGGUGAAAUUCGUAGAUAUUAGGAAGAACACCGGUGGCGAAGGCGGCCCACUGGUCCGGUACUGACGCUGAGGUGCGAAAGCGUGGGGAGCAAACAGG